GCUGUGAGUGUUUAUAGUGCUGUGAGUUGAACACUUCAUCACUGACACACACACAAUCUUCAUCAUCAUGACCUUCAUCAUCAUCUUCAUCUGGACUCUGUCAUACAGCUUCACACUACAAGGAUGUGCAGCUCAGAUCACAGUGACCCAAAGUCCAGUGGAAACAGUUAAACCUGGAGAAAAUGUUCAGAUGAGCUGCAAACUCAGCACUAGUAGUUAUUCAGGCUGUAACCCACCCUGUGUGUCCUGGUACGUACAGAAACCUGGAGAAGCUCCUAAACUCCUGAUUUACAGAACAAGCAGCCGUCAGUCAGGAACUGCAUCUAGAUUCAGUGGCAGUGGAUCUAAUGUGGAUUUCACUCUGAGCAUCAGUGGAGUCCAGACUGAAGAUGCUGGACAUUAUUACUGUCAGAGUUUACACAGCAUCAACAGUAAAGAUGUGUUAACACAGUGA